rnacentral:rRNA from 1 species
UACGUAGGCAGCGAGCGUUGUUCGGAGUUACUGGGCGUAAAGAGUGCGUAGGCGGUGCUCCAAGUCUGGUGUGAAAUCUCCCGGCUUAACCGGGAGGGUGCGCCGGAAACUGGGGUGCUGGAGUGUGGGAGAGGUAAGCGGAAUUCCCGGUGUAGCGGUGAAAUUCGUAGAUAUUCGGAAGAACACCAGUGGCGAAGGCGACUUACUGGACACAUAUUGACGCUGAGGUGCGAAAGCGUGGGGAGCAAACAGG